GGAAGUUCAAGUAGUAAAUCAAAGUUGGGUAAAUAUCUUGCUGAAGAUGUUGAGCUAGAGACUGAUGAUUUGAUAUAUUAAAUUGGUGGAAAUUUGAUGAGCCAGAUUUCCUAUUCUUGUUGAGAUGGCUCGUGACGUCACGAAACAUUCCUAUUUCAAGUGUCGAAUCUGAAUGUGCGUUUAGCACAGGCGGUCGUAUUCUUAAUCCUUUUAGGAGUUCACUGACUUAUAAACUAGUGCAAGCUCUUAUUUCUCUUCAAGAUUGGUAUAGAAGUGAACCAAUUCCAAUUAAUGUUGAGGAAGAUCUAGAGUAUGUUGCGCUACUUGAACUUGAUAUGGCUCAUAG
rnacentral:misc_RNA from 1 species